AAUAAUUACUCAAUGUGACACCUAUCAUUGUUAUUUUUUUUUUCAGAAAAGGGAAACUAGAUAUUUGAGAGAUAGAAAAUAGAAGAAAAGGAAAAGAAAAAGGAAACUAAAUAUUUGAGAGAUAGAAAAUAGAAGAAAAGGAAAAGGUUAAUCAAGAUUUAGUGCUGGCCACACACUUAAGAAAGAAUAAGAACAAGAAUGUCUUUACAGAAUACGGGAGACUAUUUUACUGCACUUAGAUUUGUGUUUUUGUUAUAAUUAACUGAUAUUGUAAUUUGUCCUUGGAUAAAAUAUCUGCAAUGUGGAGGACAACUGAACUGUGUUCUUAUAUAUUGAAGACCUACAAUGAUUUAAAAUGCAUGAACUUUAUACUACUGGAAAAUGGUUAUCAUUAAAGUAACAAACACAGAAUUUAUUUACAUGUAUAAAAUGUUAUCUGAAAGGUGAAAGGUGAAAGUAAACAGAUUCCUGGUUGUUUGAAUACA